ensembl:lncRNA
CCUUUCUGUCUGGGAGCUUCCAUGUGGACCGAGAGAGGAGGAGAGAGGGAGGAAACAGAGGAUGCAGACAGCAACACAGAGGAGACACAGAGCGCAGGAGGAGGGAAAGUAACUGAUGGAGAGAAAGUGAGAGAGAGAGAGAGAGAGAGAUGGAGUGAGCAGCUCUGAACAACACUGAGAGCUCGGGAGGGAAGAUGCCAGACAAAAUAUGAAGAAAGACCUGAGUCUAUUAAAAAUGGCAAGAAAAACCGAACAUAGAUUCUGAAACGGGAGACGUUGAAGGUAAAUUCAGGAUGUCUGGGGAUUUUUAAAGUCGUCUAGUCUUCCGGAUGUUAAUCGUAGAUGCUGUGAUUCCCUUGGACGUUUGUCAGAUGGGAUUUCCUGCUCUCUUCUGGAACUAUCUGCAUGGUUUCUUGCCCUCCGACCUUUAAAGUUCUCCUGUUUUCCCUGUUACCCGAUCUUCAAGUCAUCAUUUUCAGUUGAAAGGGGACCAGUCUUCCAUUCUUGGUUAGUACAGAGGACAUCUUCAUAACUCCUUGAUUAAUUUUGGCUUGGAACAGAACAGACUUGGAUGUGCACAAUCAAGACAAGCCUGUGCAACACCAUGCAGAGCGCCGUCACCGGAAAAGGACAGCGGGACCGUCAAACUCACUUGAUUCUGUUGCAGUGAAAGAUUCAUGAACCUAAGUGUUUCUUGUUCUCUCUCUGUUCACAGCAAAAACAACACCACCGUCAAGCAGCUUCAUCACUCAGCACAGAUAACAAGCCUGUACUAACUGGAUUCACGAGGUUCCAGAAACAAUCUGAGCUCGGGAUAAACAAGCCUGUGACAGAACUGGACCAGGCCAACAAAAGGGUGCAGGGGGAGUGGACCGGGACCCAGGCCGCGUGGGGCUUCCAGCGGUUCUUUCAGGUCCUGCAGGGAUGGAUGCAACGGCAGAAUAGAAAACAGGACGGGACGUUUCUGCUGUCCCACUGGUACAAUGCGUGGUCUUCUUCAUUUCUAGAAGCCAUUUGGCUGUUGUGCAGGGUUACUGAAUGUCCCUCCGAGCCUCACAAGGUGUUUGGGCCAUGUGCAAGUGCCUUUCUGACUGGGCCUAGAGCAAGGAGGUGCCACUUGUAUUUCCCCCUAAUUGGGUUGGAAAUAAUCGUGUUUCACUGUUGAAUGGCUAAGCCAUAGCAGAGUGGAGAGAGGGUGACAAGCUUGUCUCACAGAGUCUCAUGGGUCCUUAUGGUUCUGCAACAGCUGCUCGGCUUAGUGCUGCUAACCUCCAGCCAUCUUCUGUGACGAAAACAACAAAUAAAUACUUGAGAAGGUGCA